AUGUUUUUUUAAAAAUGAGUUUCGUAAUAAAAUAAAAUAAAAAAUCUGUUCUCAUCAGUUUAAUACCUGAUACGUCCUCCAUUCGAGGACUUUAUAUUAAAUGGAUUUUUAGAGCAAGGAGCUGGGAGAGGGGCUUGCUCCAUCUGCUCCACAUCCAAUCUGGAAUUGCAGUACCUCCAGGAAUGGUGCACCUUUU
ensembl:snRNA U2 U2 spliceosomal RNA